UACGAGGGGGGCAAGCGUUGUUCGGAGUUACUGGGCGUAAAGAGUGUGUAGGCGGUGCUCUAAGUUCGGUGUGAAAUCUCCUGCUUAACUGGGAGGGUGCGCCGGAAACUGGAGUGCUUGAGCGUGGGAGGGGAAAGCGGAAUUCCUGGUGUAGCGGUGAAAUGCGUAGAUAUCAGGAGGAACACCUGUGGUGUAGACGGCUUUCUGGACCAUAGCUGACGCUGAGACACGAAAGCGUGGGUAGCAAACAGG
rnacentral:rRNA from 1 species